AACGCACAUUGCACCUUUUGGUAUUCCGAGAGGUAUGCUUGUUCGAGCGUCGUUUAAACAAUAUUCAUUUUAAUUUUAAUUAAACUGAAUGUCAUUGAGGGAUUUGGGUUUUUACACCAAACCUUCCAAAACAAUUGGAAAUUAAAAAAAGCGAUCUUGACUGAUUACUAUUGAACGCAUUAAAAAAAUAAAUUCUUUUCUAACAAUUUAUUCGGGCAAGAAAAUCAGUGUGAGAGCAGCCAAAAUAAAAUAAAACAAAAUUAAAAAAAAGAAAUUUACUUUUCCUUUUUUUUAAAAUGUUUACAUCAAAUUAUCGACCUCGAAUCAAGUAGGAUUACCCGCUGAACUUAA
rnacentral:misc_RNA from 1 species